rnacentral:rRNA from 1 species
AGAGUUUGAUCAUGGCUCAGGAUGAACGCUAGCUACAGGCUUAACACAUGCAAGUCGAGGGGAAACGAUAUUGGAAGCUUGCUUCCGAUAGGCGUCGACCGGCGCACGGGUGAGUAACGCGUAUCCAACCUGCCCAUCACUUGGGAAUAACCUUGCGAAAGUAAGACUAAUGCCCAAUGACAUUUAUAGAAGGCAUCGGAAAUGAAUUAAAGAUUUAUCGGUGAUGGAUGGGGAUGCGUCUGAUUAGCUUGUUGGCGGGGUAACGGCCCACCAAGGCGACGAUCAGUAGGGGUUCUGAGAGGAAGGUCCCCCACAUUGGAACUGAGACACGGUCCAAACUCCUACGGGAGGCAGCAGUGAGGAAUACUGGUCAAUGGGCGAGAGCCUGAACCAGCCAAGUAGCGUGCAGGAUGACGGCCCUAUGGGUUGUAAACUGCUUUUAUAGGGGAAUAAAGUGAGCCACGUGUGGUUUUUUGCAUGUACCCUAUGAAUAAGGACCGGCUAAUUCCGUGCCAGCAGCCGCGGUAAUACGGAAGGUCCGGGCGUUAUCCGGAUUUAUUGGGUUUAAAGGGAGCGUAGGCCGGAGAUUAAGCGUGUUGUGAAAUGUAGAUGCUCAACAUCUGCACUGCAGCGCGAACUGGUUUCCUUGAGUACGCAUAAAGUGGGCGGAAUUCGUGGUGUAGCGGUGAAAUGCUUAGAUAUCACGAAGAACUCCGAUUGCGAAGGCAGCUCACUGGGGCGCAACUGACGCUGAAGCUCGAAAGCGCGGGUAUCGAACAGGAUUAGAUACCCUGGUAGUCCGCGCGGUAAACGAUGGAUGCCCGCUGUUGGGCCAACUGGUUCAGCGGCCAAGCGAAAGCAUUAAGCAUCCCACCUGGGGAGUACGCCGGCAACGGUGAAACUCAAAGGAAUUGACGGGGGCCCGCACAAGCGGAGGAACAUGUGGUUUAAUUCGAUGAUACGCGAGGAACCUUACCCGGGCUUGAAUUGCAGAGGAAGGAUUUGGAGACAAUGACGCCCUUCGGGGCCUCUGUGAAGGUGCUGCAUGGUUGUCGUCAGCUCGUGCCGUGAGGUGUCGGCUUAAGUGCCAUAACGAGCGCAACCCCUCUCCAUAGUUGCCAUCAGGUGAAGCUGGGCACUCUGUGGACACUGCCACCGUAAGGUGCGAGGAAGGUGGGGAUGACGUCAAAUCAGCACGGCCCUUACGUCCGGGGCUACUCACGUGUUACAAUGGCAGGUACAGAGAG